UACGUAGGGUCCGAGCGUUGUCCGGAAUUACUGGGCGUAAAGAGCUCGUAGGUGGUUUGUCGCGUUGUUCGUGAAAACUCACAGCUCAACUGUGGGCGUGCGGGCGAUACGGGCAGACUGGAGUACUGCAGGGGAGACUGGAAUUCCUGUGUAGCGGUGGAAUGCGUAGAUAUCUGGAGGAACACCGGUGGCGAAGGCGGCAUCCUGGACCACGACUGACGCUGAGUGAGC
rnacentral:rRNA from 1 species